AAGGGGAGCGCCAGAUCCUGGGCUGUGUCCCCCGGUACCUUGGGCUCUGGGGCCUGUGCUGCUGGAAUCCUGCUCCUGGGGCCGCAUAGCCCCCU
rnacentral:pre_miRNA from 1 species